CCGACCAUAACUUUAGAAGAAAUUUUUUUUUUCCCGGCGAGAAUUUCCGGCGAACUCAAAUACCAAAAUCCUUCCCCCCUCACUCUUGAAUUCGGUGGCGAAGCGUCCUCCAAGGGGAAGGAGCUCGCCGAUCAGUAAGCGCGUCUCGGGACAAGACGACUGGUUCUACUGCGACGUUGGACAGAGUUGUGUUGUGCAGCAGUAGAGUGAUUUGUCUGUUCUCCUUGUUUACGUUUGUU